AUACUUACCUGGCAGAGGAGAUACCAGGAUAAUCAAGGUGGUUCUCGCAGGGAGAAACUUAUUCAUUGCAUUCCAGAUGUGCUGAUCACUGUGAUUCCCCAAAUGUGGGAAACAAGACUGCAUAAUUUGUGGUAGUGGGGGACUGUCUUCAUGCUCUCCCCUG